rnacentral:rRNA from 1 species
UACGAAGGGGGCUAGCGUUGCUCGGAAUCACUGGGCGUAAAGGGUGCGUAGGCGGGUCUUUAAGUCAGGGGGUGAAAUCCUGGAGCUCAACUCCAGAACUGCCUUUGAUACUGAGGAUCUUGAGUCCGGGAGAGGUGAGUGGAACUGCGAGUGUAGAGGUGAAAUUCGUAGAUAUUCGCAAGAACACCAGUGGCGAAGGCGGCUCACUGGCCCGGUACUGACGCUGGCGCGAAAGC